CUCUCGGUAAAUGAUUGCCGUUUAAAACACUUUUCCUUGCCCUUUCCUACCAUCGACUCCGACAGCAGCAGAAUUACAGUAAGAGAACACAAUCCCCCACUCAAACUGCCCAACAAAAAAGUUGAGUUGGAGCCCGUCCACAAGAAAGCUGCUGUGUCGCAGCCCCUACACACCGAAAGGGCAAUAACUGGCUCAAGCCUAGACUUGCCAUCCACCUGGGCAGGAAGAUUCACCAUAGGAGCUGGGAGCUGGGCAACUGUACUUACCGUAUUCAAUAACCCUUGAACUACCAGCCAGAACAAUGAAUAACCUUGCAGAUAUGUUGGCUAACUAUGGUGUGGAGUCAGGAGAUGGAACUUGACAGGCAGACUUUCUAACCUGGGAACCACCAACAAAAGGAUGCAUGAACAGCCUGAGCUCUGUGGUGCAAGCCUAGCAGUGCCUGUGAGAAGAAUUUGGUAAACACUCAUGGUUUUCAGACUGUUGUUUCAAUAAGUCUGGGUGAGGGCCAUGAAAGGUUGGAACGGAGCCAGGAAUUAGGACUGAAAGGGAGGAUUCCCCCAGCAUUCACUGCUGCAGCUGAAGUGGAUGUGUCAACCAUUCAAGACCACAGAAGAAAGAAUGUCAACAGUGACUGACCAAAAAUUCCAUCCCCGUGUUAAAGUAUUCAGAGACUUGGUGAAGUAUGUACCAAGGGGAAAUCCACCACUUUACGGAGCUCUCAUGUACAAACUAAUUUGGAAUUACCAUUUGCGGUUUAAUGUUGUCUUUUUUUCCUUACUUCCUAUGUAUAGAAUUUUUUAUCUUCCUUUCUUUGGCUUAGAUAGAGCCGCCUUGCCUUUC